UAUUCCCCCCCCCCGUAUCAUAUGCUUGUCUCAGAGAUUAAGCCAUGCAUGUCUAAGUACAUACCUUUAAACGGUGAAACCGCGAAUGGCUCAUUAAAUCAGCUAUGGUUCCUUAGAUCGUACCUACUACAUGGAUAACUGUAGUAAUUCUAGAGCUAAUACAUGCCACUAUGCCCUGACCCGCAAGGGGACGGGUGGAUUUAUUAGAACAGAACCAACCGUGAGGUGGCUUCGGCUGCUUCCGUUGCACUCUGUGAUGACUCUGGAUAACUUCACUGAUCGCAGUCGGCCUUGUGUCGGCGACGGAUCUUUCAAAUGUCUGCCCUAUCAAUUUUCGAUGGUAGGUGAUCUGCCUACCAUGGUGAUAACGGGUAACGGGGAAUCAGGGUUCGAUUCCGGAGAGGGAGCCUGAGAAACGGCUACCACUUCCAAGGAAGGCAGCAGGCGCGCAAACUACCCAAUCCCGGCACGGGGAGGUGGUGACGAAAAAUACGGAUACGGGACUCUAAUGAGGCUCCGUAAUUCGAAUGAGUACAAUUUAAAUCCUUUAACGAGGAUCAACUGGAGGGCAAGUCUGGUGCCAGCAGCCGCGGUAACUCCAUCCCCAAAAAAGGCGAAAAAAUAGC
rnacentral:rRNA from 1 species